UACAGAGACACAUGCACACACACACACACACACAGAGACACACGCACGCUGCACAAUAUAUAGUAUGUCUUAUCGUAAAACUCAUCGUCAGCUGGAAGAAGAUAUCGGCAGAAAACUUUACUUUAAAAUAUUGUGACCGAGCGAGCCAAUGAGGUUAAAGAUGUGAAGAGGAGGAAUGUCCUGCAGCAUAAAGAUACGUGUGGAUGGAAACUUGUCUCUCUUUACUCUGUAAUUAAAGUCUUUCAUCUUCA